AGUUAGAGUUAGUAAAACCUGGUGGUUGUUGCAUCAAUACCUUUUUAGUUAAUUCACCAUUUCAAAAUGCAUUAUUAAAAUUAAAUUGAUGCAAAACCCAUCUUUUUGCUAGAGCAAUUGAUAGAAUAGUAUGGAUGGUGGCUGGCACAGAGUUUCCACAGAAGAUCCCUUCAAGGCAAUUUCAACAAUCCAAUGUUCUCUCUUCGGGAUGGUGGAGGAAAAAGAGGUUUUGGCAGAGGACGAUUUGGUAGGGGUGGAAGAAACUUUUGGCAAAAUCCCAGACCUCAAUGCCAAGUAUACUCAAGACCAGGACACUCAGCACUUCAAUGCUUCUUCAGAUUCGAUCAAAACUUCUAUGGCUCUUCAUCAUCAUUUACACCUUCCCAGCAAUCUACUGGUUCUUUUCAAUCUCCUCAGCCACCGCCACCACCAUCUUUGUUUCACCAACCAACCUCCUUCAUCAUCAUCAGAUGCUUCAAGGUAUCCGGAGUCUGGAGCAAGUAUUUGUAUUUCAACAAAUCAGUCUAAAAUCAGCUCAAAUCUUUUAGGCAUUUCUGAUGCACCAUAGUAUUAGAAGCGUUGAUUUAAAUUGGUAGAAGAUCCAAUGGUUUACAUUCACUCCAUAAACAAUUUGCUAGAAAUAGGGAAAUAGAUGACAAGUCUUUGAAUAUUUCAAAACCACCCCUAAAUUAAUUGUAAGACAAAUCAAGCAUUGAAAGCGGCAGCAAAACCCUAUCCUGCCUCCAUGGUCAGUCCGACAAUGUUAUGGUAGACUUCCGACGACAUGCUUGAAAAAAAAGUCUUGGAUGAUGGUUGCCAGCUUCACCAACGGCAAUAUUGAAGAGAAGAGACCAUGGCACCGAUCUUGACGAUGACAACGAGAAUGAAGAAGAGGAAGAUUACAGGUUUAAACAAUGACGAGGUGGCAGACGAUGGGGACAACCAGUGAUACUGUAGUCAUUGACGUUGCUGCCACCGCUCUAACUGCUUACUCCAGUACUUGAUGAGCAGGCCAUUAAUUUUGUUCUAAUUAAUUUUUUUUUAAGAUUGCUUUUGGUUGUAAAUAAAGUUUUCUAUUCUUGAUUUUAUUUUGUAAAAUUCUACAAGUUUUUCAUGUAAUUAGAUCUUCACUAGUUGUACUUUUGAGACUUGAAUCUGCACAAAUUCUUUUUUUAUUUAUUUAAUUUCAGAACAAUAACAUAUUCAAUUUCAUUGGCAAAUUUAACGACAAGGAGGCCAUGACACUGAUGUUGAAGUGUUGUCGAGGACAACGGUGAAGGGGAAGAGCAAGAUUGCAUGAUUUAGGUCAUGAAGAAGACGCGGAUCGUGAUAAUCAUGUGGUACCGUGGUCAUUGACGGCCCCAUGGUGAUUCCAAACUCCUCAAAUCUUUAAUGCAAAUUCCUGAAGAUAUGUCCAGAGUGGAUAAUGGGGAUGGCAACCUUUGUAGCGACAUGUUAAGCAAAUUAUCAUUGUUGAAGGAAAAAAACAAAUUGAUGGAAAAUGAGCUGAAAGAGAUGCAAGAAAGAUACUCUGAAAUGAGUCUAAAAUUUGCAAAGGUAGAAGGUGAAAGACAAAAGUAGAAUAUUUGAAAUUGAAGGAUCUUUAAAAAAAGGAAUAUCAAUGAGGACGGGCUCUCAUAUAUGUUAGAAGUUUCUUGACCUGGAUAUUUUGUCCUUUUUAUGUACAACAAUGUGUCUAUUUUAUGGUAUAAAAUUG